AUUGAACGCUGGCGGCAGGCCUAACACAUGCAAGUCGAGCGGCAGCGGGAAGUAGCUUGCUACUUUGCCGGCGAGCGGCGGACGGGUGAGUAAUGUCUGGGAAACUGCCUGAUGGAGGGGGAUAACUACUGGAAACGGUAGCUAAUACCGCAUGACCUCGCAAGAGCAAAGUGGGGGACCUUAGGGCCUCACGCCAUCGGAUGUGCCCAGAUGGGAUUAGCUAGUAGGUGAGGUAAUGGCUCACCUAGGCGACGAUCCCUAGCUGGUCUGAGAGGAUGACCAGCCACACUGGAACUGAGACACGGUCCAGACUCCUACGGGAGGCAGCAGUGGGGAAUAUUGCACAAUGGGCGCAAGCCUGAUGCAGCCAUGCCGCGUGUGUGAAGAAGGCCUUAGGGUUGUAAAGCACUUUCAGCGAGGAGGAGGGGUUCAGUGUUAAUAGCACUGUACAUUGACGUUACUCGCAGAAGAAGCACCGGCUAACUCCGUGCCAGCAGCCGCGGUAAUACGGAGGGUGCAAGCGUUAAUCGGAAUUACUGGGCGUAAAGCGCACGCAGGCGGUUUGUUAAGUCAGAUGUGAAAUCCCCGAGCUUAACUUGGGAACUGCAUUCGAAACUGGCAAGCUAGAGUCUUGUAGAGGGGGGUAGAAUUCCAGGU
rnacentral:rRNA from 1 species